ACCAGUUCUCCAGUGGGUCUCUCCACCCUGGUCUCUCCUGUGCCACCUCCUCAAACCAGGCCUCCAGCGGGUCUUCCCAGACUGGUGAGUCCAGGGCCUGCGCCCAGAGCCAGGUCUCCGUUAUGUCUCCCCAGCCUGGUGAAUCCUGAGCCGGAACUUCCAGAGUGGCCAGACUGCCCGGAACUGCAUCAGUCACCAGAGCUGCCCGCCAGUCAACUGUCACCAGAGCUGCCCGCCAGUCAACUGUCACCAGAGCUGCCCGCCAGUCAACAGUCGUCAGAGCUGCCCGCCAGUCAACAGUCGUCAGAGCUGCCCGCCAGUCAACAGUCGUCAGAGCUGCCCGCCAUUCAACAGUCAUCAGAGCUGCCAGCCAGUCAACAGUCGUCAGAGCUGCCCGCCAGUCAACAGUCGUCAGAGCUGCCCGCCAGUCAACAGUCGUCAGACUGCCCUGAACUGCCGGAGUGGCCAGACUGCCCUGAACUGCCGGAGUGGCCAGACUGCCCUGAACUGCCGGAGUGGCCAGACUGCCCUGAACUGCCGGAGUGGCCAGACUGCCCUGAACUGCCGGAGUGGCCAGUCUGCCCUGAACUGCCGGAGUGGCCAGUCUGCCCUGAACUGCCGGAGUGGCCAGUCUGCCCUGAACUGCCGGAGUGGCCAGACUGCCCUGAACUGCCCGAGUGGCCAGACUGCCCUGAACUGCCCGAGUGGCCAGACUGCCCUGAACUGCCCGAGUGGCCAGACUGCCCUGAACUGCCCGAGUGGCCAGACUGCCCGGAGCUGCCGGAGUGGCCAGACUGCCCGGAGCUGCCAGAGGUGCCCGCCUGCCAGGAUCUGCCAGGGUGCCUUGCCUGUCCUCCGGCCCAGCCCGAGUGGCCCUCCUGCCCUCCGGCCCAGCCCGAGUGGCCCUCCUGUCCUCCGGCCCAGCCCGAGUGGCCCUCCAGUCCUCCGGCCCAGCCCGAGUGGUCUGUCUGCCAGGGUCAGCCCGAGUGGCCCGUCUGCCCGGUGCAGCUAUCGGCGCCACCAAAGUGGGCGACGCCGAAGGUGGAGCGAGGUCCACGUCCUGCACCUGAGCCACCUCCAGGAUCGGGGGGUUGGGGAGGGAGGGUGUAG
rnacentral:lncRNA from 8 species